CCCGACGGGUCCUAUAGCGUGCUUAGCUACGUCACAAUCAGCGCGGAUCAAUGGAACAGCGGCGCUAUAACGUGCGAGGCUUACAACGUCAAAAACGUCACAGAAAAAGUCUCCGCGUCACUCCGCAGGCAAGAUUGCGUUCCUGUGUUGUUUUACGGACUGCCCGUCGUUCUCCUGCUAAUUCUGGUCGUCGUGUCUGUGGCGUGUGUUUACAGAAGACUUCAUAAAACUAAAACCGAUCACAAGUCCAGCGACGCACCCUGCCGUCCCCAGCGCCCCGCACGACACAGAACAGUCCAGGAUUACUCGACGGAGUACGCAUCGCUCAAUCUGUGAUGCUGAUCUAUAAAUGCAGCCGUGGAGAUGUUUGUAUUCUGGAGAGAGCGCGCGAGAGAGAGAGAGAAAGAGAGAGAGAGAGAGAGAGAGCUGUAUAGUCUUUCAAUUCCAAGUCCAAUUCACUGUGUAUUUAUUUACAUAGUAGUUAGUAAAUACAUGCGUAACACAAUUACAAUGUUAUUAUGCAUUGUUACAAUGUACUUACUGUGGAAAUCUCUGUGCUCGAUAUAACCCUAUCCUUAACACUAACCCUAACCCUUUUCUAUUGCAGCUGUGCACUUGCAUAUAUCGUUCAAAAAGACAUCCACACUAAGCACUUUGUAACUAUGCAUAAUACCACUGUAAUGAUGUGCCAGUCCGCAUGCAUUUACCAAAUACACAGCAAUGAGAGACACUUCAUGUCAAAUAUUACCCAUUUGUAUUGAAAUGAACUUUAAACAGCUGGACUCAAAUUCAAGCAAGCCUCUCAUGCUGC